GGCCGCGGCCUGCUCUGAGCCCGGCGCGGGGCUCACGGCCCAGCCGGGGCGCUGGGGAGCCCCAGGGGCAGCUGCGAGGGCCCCCAGCUGAGGCCGGUGCAGCUCAUCCUGCCCCCGAGUGAGUGCUGGAUGAGUUUUAAUGAAUGUGAGUCUUAAUGGAAUGUGAUGGGCGUUCGCCUGGCAAAGAAUUACUGUGGCGGGUUCCAGGCUCCUCAGUACAAGAGGAGCUACUGGAGAGGGGCCAGUGGAGAACGACAAAGAUGAUGGAUGAGGGGUCUAGAGUCUCUCUCUGGUGAGGAGAGACUGCGGGACCUUGGCCUGUUUCUUCUACAGAAGAGGACAGCUCACCAAUAGAUACAAAUAUCUGAAAGGCAGCUCUCAAACUGGUCUGACAAAAAUUACUUUGGAAGGAGAAAUUUUGUUGAUAGAAGCCCUCCUUCAACAGGCCUUCAGCACGAGCACUAUUUCAGCAAGACCCUCUUGAGAGAUCAACUCAUUUGGAAAGAAGUUGUUUCUUUCUACCUGAAUGAUGUCACAUCUUAUGUGCCCUGAUCCAGCUCACUACAACCAUCUCAGGACAAAGAGGACACACUUGUUGCAAGAGUGUGUUAACUCUCUGACACUUCUUGUAUGUGCUAAAGAAAAGGUCUCUGGCAUUUCAACAGACUUGAGAAAAGGAAGUUUUCUUCCUUUUCCUUUUAGCAUGUCCUUCCUAGACAUGCUAAAUGGUGGAAACCUCCCAGAUUAAAGAAUUAAGAAGUCAGAAGGGGACUGAAGCAUGCUUUUGGGUUCUUACUUGUUCAGUUCUGGUCUUUUUUUCAUUGAAGUUCAAUAUUCUACUUGAGAGAAAAUAGGUUGAGAUAAAUUUAUAUUAUAAUGCUAUGAUCAGCAGUAACCUUUAGUUAGCAGCAGCCAGCCAAUAUGGCAAGAAAAUACAUUUUUAAUCAUCACUCCUACCUGGAAAGCUUCUAGCAAGAGCAUGUAAUCAGAACAUAGUCAUAGAUGAAUGUGUUUCUCUCUCAUGAAGACACCCUUUAACUUGCACCAAGAUCCUGGUCUGCUUCUCUGAGUGCCUACACAUGCCCAAGUAUAUGGGUCCUGCAGAGCUCACUAAAAAGCAGGAUAAAAUGGGCUAGACAACUUUACCAACAUUUAAAAACAAACAAACCUCCACAUCUGUAACUUAUUCCUGAACUGAGAAAUCGCUUUCAUAUUAAAAUUACAUCAUAAGCCCA